AGUGAACGCUGGCGGUAGGCCUAACACAUGCAAGUCGAACGGCAGCACAGUAAGAGCUUGCUCUUACGGGUGGCGAGUGGCGGACGGGUGAGGAAUACAUCGGAAUCUACUUUUUCGUGGGGGAUAACGUAGGGAAACUUACGCUAAUACCGCAUACGACCUACGGGUGAAAGCAGGGGAUCUUCGGACCUUGCGCGAUUGAAUGAGCCGAUGUCGGAUUAGCUAGUUGGCGGGGUAAAGGCCCACCAAUGCGACGAUCCGUAGCUGGUCUGAGAGGAUGAUCAGCCACACUGGAACUGAGACACGGUCCAGACUCCUACGGGAGGCAGCAGUGGGGAAUAUUGGACAAUGGGCGCAAGCCUGAUCCAGCCAUACCGCGUGGGUGAAGAAGGCCUUCGGGUUGUAAAGCCCUAUUGUUGGGAAAGAAAAGCAGCAGGUUAAUACCCCGCUGUUCUGACGGUACCCAAAGAAUAAGCACCGGCUAACUUCGUG
rnacentral:rRNA from 1 species